ensembl:snRNA U4 U4 spliceosomal RNA
AGCUUUGCGCAGUGGCAGUAUCGUAGCCAAUGAGGUUUAUCCGAGGCGCGAUUAUUGCUAAUUGAAAACCAAGCAGAGCAGAAAAAAAA